rnacentral:rRNA from 1 species
GCAUCUGUGCAUGCAGCAUAUCAAUAAGCGGAGGAAAAGAAACUAACAAGGAUUCCCCUAGUAACGGCGAGUGAAGCGGGAAGAGCUCAAAUUUGAAAUCUUAAAGGGUUUCCCUUUACGAAUUGUAGUUUAAAGAAGUGUUUUCUGUUGAGGUUUUGGUAAAAGUUCUUUGGAAUAGGACAUCAUAGAGGGUGAGAAUCCCGUAUUUGACCUUUACUUUCAACUUUGUGAUACACUUUCAAAGAGUCGGAUUGUUUGGGAAUGCAGUCCAAAAUGGGUGGUAAAUUUCAUCUAAAGCUAAAUAUUGGCGAGAGACCGAUAGCGAACAAGUACCGUGAGGGAAAGAUGAAAAGAACUUUGAAAAGAGAGUUAAACAGUACGUGAAGUUGUCAAAAGGGAAGCGUUUGACACCAGUGUUGUUUUUCUGAAAAUCAAUUAAAGAACUGUUUAUGCUAAGCUGUUUAGACUUUAUCAGCUAACUGUUUAGUUUUGAGCUUUUCUUUAAUGCACUUUUCAGUUAACAAGUCAACAUCAAUUUCUUUUGCUGUAAAAAAGCUUGAGGAAGGUGGCUUGAGAUUCGUCUUAAGUGUUUAUAGCCUCUUGCCUAUGCAGUCGGAGAGAUUGAGGUCUGCAGCGUAGAUCCUUCGGGGCUAAAUGCAUUUGUGCUAAGUUAUAGCAUUUUAUAGACAACUUGUUGACUAUGAUUUGUCUUGUAGCUUACUCGCUUAUGUUAUUUUACCUACGCUUAGGAUGUUGAGUCAUCACACAUCUCU